CCCCAAACGCAGACAGCUGCCCAUUCGUUCAUUUUCAUUAACAGCAUUGUAUUGUCCAAUCAAAUCUCUUUAUGCAACCAGGACCUCCCCCACCUUCCCUGUGCACUCAUAAACCUUGUAAAACAAAAUUUAGCAUGUAAAAGUGUGUUUAAAAGGUGAAACCGAAAAUUAAAAAUGAACCAUAAAUCUUAAGUAAAAACACUUUAAACUGGGGGCGGCCAUCAAAAACUAUUGGCUAGAGAAUUGAAGGGAGAGCAAACUAAACGGGCUAUAUAUAAGACAAAACAAAGUUAGGCAUCUUGCUUACAGAUCUAGAGGAUAUCAAUGGGCGCUUCAGUGAGCUUUACUCUGAAAUUUACUCUUCAAAAUUGUCUGCCCAACAAGGAGAUUUUCAGUCUCCCAAUUUUAAAACAAUACUAUUGGGCAGCUAACAUGAGAGCUCUGAUGUAUUGGAAUCACGAUGACUUAUUUGAGCCAACUAUGGGUGACCUAUCUUUAUGGCCAAGGAUAGAAGCUUCUUUUAAAUAGAACAUAUCUCUUUCUGCACUAUUGUUUUCUGGCUCUUUAGUAGUUGAUUAAAAAAACAAGUUAAGUUUCACCAUAAAGAAUUCUCUAAAAGUUCCAGUCAGAUUAGAAAGGCCUGUCAUAUUCCUAAUGUCUCUGUAUUUGGUCCCAUCUGUCAGAACCUCACAUUUGGCCCAGGAGAGUUGGAUGAGGUGUUUCCAAUCUCAAAGAAUAUAGGCAUUGUCCGUUUCUCAGAUCUUUACUCUCAGGAGUCACGUCAGCUGCCCCUCUAUCUCCAGAUGACUGCGGACCCUGGGAUGGUGGUGGCAAAGAAACUCAUCCUACUGACUUGGAAGUCAACUACCCAACCAAGUUUGGAGUACUGGCUCAACGAGAUUCUGUCUGUUCUACAACUGGAAAAGCUCAGACUAAAUAAACUUGGCACUCGAAACUAAUUUGGGACGAUAUGGGGGCCUUUUUUGGCCCAGUGUAACAUCGGUCUGCAUUUAUAAGAACAUUUUAUGUCAACUUUUUCUGUAAAGUUAUUUGCCAGUUCAUUUGUUUACCUGAGAGUUCCUACACUAACUAUGACUACUAUUGGGAAGGAUAUCCUUUGUUUCUGUACCUUCUCUUCUUUUUUAAAGUCUCUAAUGUCUCAACAUGUUUGUCUGUUUUUUGUGUGGAAUUUUGUUUUUUUUUAGUUAGUUCUUUAUUUAUAUUCUGUACUAAAAUUGCUAAUUAAAAUAUUUUAAAAAAUAGAUGCACCAAACUUUGUUAAAUGAUCCGACAUGUUAGUAGUAAUAUACCUAUACUUUUUUUUGCCCCACCCCCGCCCCCACCCGCAUCCCCUCACCCCUCCCCUAUCCCCCUGCGCGUUCAUGUGAGGGCAUGUGCGCGUGAAGAAGAGGUCAUCCUUAUCAAGAGCAUCUCAACUGUACUUCCAUAGUUUUCAUUACAAACAGUCUCCUUUAUCUUAUCAUGUCAGAGGGCAACUGAAACCAGGUCCAACAGAGCCACCAAAGGUUUUUUCACCUUUUAUCUUUCCAUUACACUUUCUACUGACCAACCGAUCCUCCAAACAGGUUUCACCUUUUGCUUACACCCCCACACCUUUAUCUCUGCAUCUCAGAGGCCAACUGAAACCAAAUCCACCUAUAUAAAAA
ensembl:lncRNA